AGUGAACGCUGGCGGUAGGCCUAACACAUGCAAGUCGAACGGCAGCACAGUAAGAACUUGCUCUUACGGGUGGCGAGUGGCGGACGGGUGAGGAAUACAUCGGAAUCUACUUUUUCGUGGGGGAUAACGUAGGGAAACUUACGCUAAUACCGCAUACGACCUACGGGUGAAAGCAGGGGAUCUUCGGACCUUGCGCGAUUGAAUGAGCCGAUGUCGGAUUAGCUAGUUGGCGGGGUAAAGGCCCACCAAGGCGACGAUCCGUAGCUGGUCUGAGAGGAUGAUCAGCCACACUGGAACUGAGACACGGUCCAGACUCCUACGGGAGGCAGCAGUGGGGAACAUUGGACAAUGGGCGCAAGCCUGAUCCAGCCAUACCGCGUGGGUGAAGAAGGCCUUCGGGUUGUAAAGCCCUUUUGUUGGGAAAGAAAAGCAGCAGGUUAAUACCCCGCUGUUCUGACGGUACCCAAAGAAUAAGCACCGGCUAACUUCGUG
rnacentral:rRNA from 1 species